GAGGAUAAAUCAAAACAGAUAGAGAGAUUGGAAAGCAAGAUCGCCACCUUGGAGUCAGAGAUCGAGUUGCUCCACAACAAUUCUGCACUAGCUAUUCAGGCCGUGGUUACUCCUGAAAUGAAUCAGACAACAAUAAUUGAGGAAUUUGACAAGGGACACCAGCUUGAAGAAGUUAAAACGGUCAAUGAGCAAGUGGUUGUUCCUCCUGUAAAGAAUCUAAGCAAACAAAAAUCCCAACAAAUCCAAGAAGACUAAAAGAGGAGAAUUACUAUCUGUGUUGUUUUUUCUACCAAAUUGGGAGAACUAUGUUAGCAGUUUCAUGAUGAAGUUGCUUGAGGAAGGUUUUGAUCUU